CAGCUGUAAAUACCGAACUACUGAACCGCCAAGAUGACUGUUGAGUUCAAAAACAUGAGCUUCAAGUCAGGAAUGGAACUAAAAGUCACUGGGAGCCCUAACAAGAAUGCAUCCCGUUUUGUGAUCGAAGUGAGAGAAUCUGAUGAAAAUAUUGCGCUGCACUUUACCCCGACCUUCUGUGGUGUCAUCAUCAUGAACUCCAUGAAGGACGGAGUCUGGGGUGAGGAAGUGAGAUCUUCACACUUCCCUUACCGGUGUUUGCAGGAGUUUACGCUAAUACCAGACUCCAAAGGCAAUCAAAAGCCUAUAAUCAAGACUAGAUACUGAAAGAUUUAUUUUACCUGCACCAAGGGAGCGAUUGAACACACCAGUCUAAUCGGAAACAGCCAAGAAGCCAACUGUCCAAUAACUUUUCAUCCACAAAAAAAGAGGAGACGAUGUAUAAAAUGGAUGUAAUUCCUACACAGAUCAUCUGGUGUGGAUGUAAAUAUCCUCAAAUUAAAGGUGACCAUAACCUUCACGGACACUGCAUUUUACAUUAAUCUGCAUGAUGGCCAGAUGUUGGAGUUCCCCAACCGUCUGCAAAAAAUGAGAUAUGAUUUCAUUAAGAUUUUUGACGAUGUCAAGAUCAAUGGCAUGGAUAUGAAAUAAAGACCAACCAGGAGGUGCUGGACAUCUCCUUUCUGACCCCUAAUUGGCUGCUCUGCUUCCUGGUGCCUUCCUACAGCUGUGCUACCAGUGCACUUUGUCCCUCCCAGAGAUCAGUGCACUUAAUCCAGUGCUUCUCUGAUACAUUUACCAGAGACCCUCUGACAUCUGUCAAAACUCAUUGAAUAUGAUAAUCAUUUCAGCUUCAAUAAUAAAUCUCUAUCAUGAGUAAA